AUGCUAUGGAUGACUAAUGGUAGAUUCUUGCAAUGGCAAGCAAAUCUUUCUUUCACGCAAAAAAAUAUCAUCCUAACUCAUGAUUUUUGGAGAAGUAAGAUACCACCAUCCAUGUGACACGGGAUUGGAAGCCACCACCAGGCGAAAGGAGGAAGAGAUCUCACAAAGUAGGACAACUUCCUCUUGUGGAUUAGGCUGUCUAUAUAGGCACCCUUCAGAAACCAGCGCCCCACAGGAAAAAAAUUGUUUAAGGUAAGGAGAGUUAGCUAUUAUAUAUACAACGUUUGUUGAAGUUGGACUUUAAACUUGUGUCAUUUUGGAUGA
rnacentral:lncRNA from 1 species